rnacentral:rRNA from 1 species
CCUACGGGUGGCUGCAGUGGGGAAUAUUGGGCAAUGGGCGCAAGCCUGACCCAGCAACGCCGCGUGAAGGAAGAAGGCUUUCGGGUUGUAAACUUCUUUUUUCAGGGACGAAGCAAGUGACGGUACCUUCGGAAUAAGCGACGGCUACCUACGUGCCAGCAGCCGCGGUAAUACGGAGGGUGCAAGCGUUAUCCGGAUUUACUGGGUGUAAAGGGCGUGUAGGCGGGGACGCAAGUCAGAGGUGAAAACCACGGGCUCAACCUGUGACCUGCAUUUGAAACUGUGUUUCUUGAGUACUGGAGAGGCAGACGGAAUUCAUGGUGUAGCGGUGAAAUGCGUAGAUAUUAGACGGAACACCAGUGGCGAAGGCGGUCUGCUGGGCAGCAACUGACGCUGAGGCGCGAAAGCGUGGGGAGCAAACAGGAUUAGAUACCCCUGUAGUC